AUUGAUGUCACUAAUGAGCAGACUACCCGAUACGUAUGUUAGGACAAACAGAACAUUCUUAUUAUCAUUGCAAGGAUUCUGUUUACCAGCAUGACAGUUUAUGAGAAACUUAGUUAGAAUAGUGAGAAAAAUGGCUUCAAGUUCCAGCGGACCAGGUACAGUAUAUGAAAGUAGUUGACUAGCUGCAUACGCCCCUGAACUUGUAUCAUGAGAUAUGCAUUAAGUUAACAAAAUUCUAGGGAAACUAAAUAAUGAGUUGAUUUUUUUUAUAUUAAAAAGUGUAUUAAGCUUAUGAAUUAAGUUCUAUUUAAACUAUAUUGGGUAAAUUUGGCGGUGAACUUUUAUUUCUUUUACCAAAGGAGUCCCGUGGCUAGUAGGUAUACAACACUGGUAAUUGCAAUGUACAUGCAAAUGGCGGAGGGUUCAGAAAUUGUACAAUGUAUAAAAAAAUAUAUAAACAUCCAAAAUUCGUACGUGACACAUCAAAAUAAGUUACGAG
rnacentral:misc_RNA from 1 species